rnacentral:rRNA from 1 species
UACGGGGGGGGCAAGCGUUGUUCGGAAUUACUGGGCGUAAAGGGCUCGUAGGCGGCCAACUAAGUCAGACGUGAAAUCCCUCGGCUUAACCUGGGAACUGCAUCCGAUACUGGAUGGCUUGAAUCCGGGAGAGGGAUGCAGAAUUCCAGGUGUAGCGGUGAAAUGCGUGGAUAUCUGGAGGAAUACCGGUGGCGAAGGCGGCAUCCUGGACCGGCAUUGACGCUGAGGAGCGAAAGCUAGGGGAGCAAACGGG